GACGAACGCUGGCGGCGUGCUUAACACAUGCAAGUCGAGCGGUAAGGCCCUUCGGGGUACACGAGUGGCGAACGGGUGAGUAACACGUGGGUGAUCUGCCCUGCACUUCGGGAUAAGCCUGGGAAACUGGGUCUAAUACCGGAUAGGACCACUGCCUGCAUGGGUGGUGGUGGAAAGCUUUUGCGGUGUGGGAUGGGCCCGCGGCCUAUCAGCUUGUUGGUGAGGUAAAGGCUCACCAAGGCGACGACGGGUAGCCGGCCUGAGAGGGUGACCGGCCACACUGGGACUGAGAUACGGCCCAGACUCCUACGGGAGGCAGCAGUGGGGAAUAUUGCACAAUGGGCGCAAGCCUGAUGCAGCGACGCCGCGUGAGGGAUGACGGCCUUCGGGUUGUAAACCUCUUUCAGCAUCGACGAAGCGAAAGUGACGGUAGGUGCAGAAGAAGGACCGGCCAACUACGUGCCAGCAGCCGCCGUAA
rnacentral:rRNA from 1 species